rnacentral:rRNA from 1 species
UCUGGCUGUCUUCGAUAGUCCGAGUUGUAAUCUAUAGACGUGUUUCUCCGUGCUGGACCGUAUCUAAGUCCCUUGGAACAGGGUAUCAAAGAGGGUGACAAUCCCGUGCUUGAUACGACCACCAGUGCUCUGUGAUACACGCUCUACGAGUCGAGUUGUUUGGGAAUGCAGCUCAAAAUGGGUGGUAAAUUCCAUCUAAAGCUAAAUAUUGGCGAGAGACCGAUAGCGAACAAGUACCGUGAGGGAAAGAUGAAAAGCACUUUGGAAAGAGAGUUAAACAGUACGUGAAAUUGUUGAAAGGGAAACGAUUGAAGUCAGUCGUGUUCUUUGGAUUCAGCUAGUUCUUCUAGUCUACUUCCUUUGAACGGGUCAACAUCAGUUUUGUCCGGUGGAUAAAGAUAGUAGGAAUGUAGCUCCCUCGGGAGUGUUAUAGACUAUUAUUGCAUGCACUGGGUGAGACUGAGGACUGCAGCUCGCCUUUUGGCCGGCCUUCGGGUACGUUCGAGCUUAGGAUGUUGACAUAAUGGCUUUAAACGACCC